rnacentral:rRNA from 1 species
GACGAACGCUGGCGGCGUGCUUAACACAUGCAAGUCGAACGGCAAGGCCCUUCUUUCAUUGGGUGCUCUAGUGGCGAACGGGUGAGUAACACGUGAGUAACCUACCCUUGACUUUGGGAUAACUUCAGCAGACUAGGGCUGAUACCUGAUAGGAGCUCCUGCUGCAUGGUGUGGGUUGGUAAUUUUCGGCGGUUGGGGAUGGACUCGCGGCUUAUCAGCUUGUUGGUUGGGUAGUGGAUUACCAAGGCGUUGACGGGUAGCCGUAGUGAGAGGGUGACCGGCAACAUUGGGCCUGAGAUACGGGCCGGAGUCGUACGGGAGACAGCAGUGGGGAAGAUAGUACGAUGGGGCGAAGCCUGGUGGAGCAACGACGCGUGCGGGAUGGUGGCCUUCGGGUUGUAAACAGCAUUCGCGUGUGAUGAAGCGUGAGUGACGGUAAUGGAUAAAGAAGCACCGGCUAACUACGUG